AAAGCAUUAACAGUGCUAGGUACACAGUAAGCACUCAAUAAAAAUUAAUCCUCUUCCUUUCUUUCUUGCAGUUGCCUCAGAGCCUGGAAGGAAGCUCAUCUCCACUGUGACCCAACUGGAUGGGGUCCACGAUGGGCCCAUUGUGAGUAGCUGUGACCUGAGCUUCAUGCCCCUCUGGCGAUUAGUCGAAGAGCUGUGAUUGAGGGCGAUGUUCCAAGGUCUGGAGAUGGACCCUUUUAAACCUGACAGGGAGGCCAGGCACGGUAACUCACGCCUGAAAUCCCAGCACUUUGGGAGGCCGAGGCGGGCGGAUCACCUGAGGUCGGGAGUUCGAGACCAGCCUGGCCAACAUAGUGAAACCCCGUCGCCACUAAAAAUACAAAAAUAGCCAGGUGUGAUGGCAGGUGCCUGUGAUCCCAGCUACUUGAGAGGCUGAGGCAGGAGAAUCGCUUGAACCCGGGAGGCGAAGGUUGCAGUGAGCCGAGAUCGCGCCAUUGCACUCCAGCCUGGGAGACAAGAGCAAGACUCUGUCUCAAAAAAAAAAAAAAAUACAAAAACUUGCCAGGGAGUCGGUGAUGUGUGUUCCUGUGAAUGUCAGUUCUUUUCACAGCAUGGUUCUGAGAAAGUGCCCUUAAGCAAGACCAAAUUUAUGGCCAGAAGGAUUGCUCAGACCCAGACAUCUGAGUGGCAUCUAACACUAUUCUAAAGAUUGACUUUGUCCUCAUGCAAGGAAUUUUCCUUUAAAUACUAUAAGAACAAUUCAACAUGCAAUAUAUUCUUGCUGUCUUUCCUAUAAAUAAAUUUCACUGGGCUGGGACGGGAAAUAAAAG
rnacentral:lncRNA from 1 species